rnacentral:lncRNA from 1 species
CCUGAUUGAUGUGGUCCCAGACUUAAGCAGGCUCCCUUCAUUGAACCAAGCACACAGGAGGCGCGGAAGGGAGUAUGGGGGGAAGAUCCCUCAUAUUCAGGCAGUGAGGAAGAAAAAAAUGCACGUUCACCCCAUUAUUUCAAGUACCGCAAGCACACCUUUGCACAGCCCUAGUCUAAGAGUCCAGGCUCUGAAGAGUAACGUCUGCUGCUACACUCUUGAGAGCUGGAGAAAGCUCUCUUUCAAAGGCCUCUUGUGAUCAAGUCAGGGCCACCUGAAUAAUAACCCCAUUUGAAGGUGAAUUGUCCCAUAUAACAUAACCUGAUUUAAUCAGGAGAGAAAAGUCUACCACAUUCAUUUCCCUGGAGCUUAUUCUGGGGGAGGCUAGCUUCCAUGUUGAGAGACGAGCCCUAUGGAGAGGCCUAUGAUGAGAAACUGACUCCUGUCAACAGCCUCAUGAGUGAACUUAGAAGUGGAUCCCCCAGUCCUGGUGAAGUCUUAAAAACUACAAGUGCCGCUGACAGCUUACUGCAACCUCGUGAGAGAUCCUGAGGUGGAAGUGGCCAGCUAAGGCACUCCGUUUCCUGAUCCUCAGGAAGUGUGUGAGAUCAUCAAUGUCAGUCGUUUUAAGCUGUCAGAUUGAAAGGAAUAAGUGUGAGCCUGAGGAAGGAAGAUAAAACCAGACCGUGAAUGGAAGAGAAUGGAAAGUGAGGAACAUUAGGCAAAGGAAAAUGAUAGUCCAGAAUUUCCUCAACGGACCAAAUUUAUUACAAAACAUUUUCUCCCCAUGGCUGCAAGGAGGCUAUUAAAAAUAUUUAAAAGCUGGAAUGUCACAGGAGUUGAGCAAUCAGCAUAGACAGCUGAACCGGGUAGCGUAGUGAAGAGUCCUGGAGGCCCCUGGAAUGCCAGAGGUUGGCCCUUUGUGGCCAUAUUCAGAACUGCGAAGUUCCUGGAGGGUCAUGAAGAGAGAAGUAGGGUGCUCCGGGGCUCAGAACACCUCCUAGUUACCGACUGUUACAUAAGCGUUUUAAUAUAGUAACAGGAGGUGUGGUUAUAUUGGUGCAACUGAGCAUCAGCACGGACUGGCUGAACAAAUUGAUAACAGCAGACAGAACUCUGACUUAUGAACAACUCUAGAAUUUUUGCUCUAGAAUUUCCACCAGAAAAAAAAUGGAGAAGAGUAUGUGCACUGUGCAAGAAUACAUAUUUAGUCUCUUACACAGAGACUGGUGAUAACAGUAAGAAUAUGAGACAGCUGACAAGUUAGUAGUUUUAGCUACAUAACCCCAUUUCCCUCAGAGUGAAAAACUCUGCCUUGCAUACUAGAAAUUUAUAAAUAAGCUAAUCUUCUUUGUUGGUUUCUUAUGUUGUAUUUUGAAAGAUAAUGUGUGUAAAACGUUCACUGAAGAAAACUGAGAAAAUGAACAGAAUUUGGUCUUUUAAAAUGAGUUUCAUACUUUGGGAAUAAAUAUGUUAAUGUAAUAGAUCAACAAAGGUCUGGUCAUUUUUGCAAAGAUUCCCUCUGAUGGGCAAAUGGUAGCAUGAUGAUUCAUGUGACAUAGUCAACACCACAGGGGAAGAGGGAACAGAGGAGGAGAAUAUUCCAGAAGACUGCAGAGAUAUGAACUGAGGAAAGUUUAUGAAGCUAAUCCACAUUCUCAGACAAAUGAGCACCAUUAAUAAGCAAAAUGAGAAACUGAGUGUAAGUGUAUUUCCUUAAAUAACACAAUUAAAAAGUUCUGUAUUGUUAGUAGUAGCCUAAAAAACUUUAUUAUAUCUGAUGUACCACUGGAAACAUCCUCAAAAUCCUUUUAUAUUGGAUUAUAUAGCUG